GUGCCAGCCGCCGCGGUAAUACGAAGGGGGCUAGCGUUGUUCGGAAUUACUGGGCGUAAAGCGCAUGCAGGCGGAUCGCUAAGUCAGGGGUGAAAGCCCGAGGCUCAACCUCGGAACUGCCUUUGAUACUGGCGAUCUUGAGUCCGGGAGAGGUGAGUGGAACUCCGAGUGUAGAGGUGAAAUUCGUAGAUAUUCGGAAGAACACCAGUGGCGAAGGCGGCUCACUGGCCCGGUACUGACGCUGAGAUGCGAAAGCGUGGGGAGCAAACAGGAUUAGAAACCCCGGUAGUCC
rnacentral:rRNA from 1 species